rnacentral:lncRNA from 1 species
AUGCUGCCAACCACCAUGACAUGAAAUCGAUCUCUCAAGUCAUAAAGAAACUUGAAGUAAGCAUGUCUUAGUUUUCUGUUCAAGAAUAUGGCACAACAAACUCCCAAAAAGCCCGUCACAAAUCCAGAUUCUAUUCCGAUGUAAAACCAUGGCCAAAAUUCGGAUUGAUUUCCAUCUUCCCCAAAAAGCUUUGUGUCUUUGUGUUUAUCAUGUUGAAAGCACAUUUUGGUAAGUGGGGGUCCACAAAGAUCACGAUUUCCCAUGUAACUAAGUGUAGUGAACCCUUGAAGUUGUGUCACUGAUGGUAUUUUGCCUCUAAAAUUGUUGAAUGACAGAUUCAAGUAACCCAAAAAGGACAAACUAGACAAGCUCUGAGGAAUUUCACCUUCAAGUUGGUUUCUUGAAAAAUCAAGAGACUCUAAGUUUUUCAUGUUUCCUAUCUCAUUUAGUACUUUUCCUGAUAACUUAUUGUUGGAUAAGUUCAAGGAAGAUAAUCCAGUUAGACUAAACAUUUGUGGAGGUAUUGUUCCGGACAAAUUGUUAUUUGACAUAUCAAUUAAGGUCAUAAAGUGUAGGUUUUUUUCAUAUUCUAAUACUUGACCUUUUGUAACCAAUUCAAGAUUGUCGUCAUUGAAAUAGUAACGUGUACCAGAUGAAGGAAAGGAAAAAGAAAGUUUGUUUAUUGAAACAUUAUUGAAAAGUAGGGUUUUGAUAUUAGGAAGAUAAUUGGGUAUAUGACCAGAGAUUGUGUUAUGUGCAAUAUCCAAUAUAAUGAGGGAAGACAUUUGGCAUAUUUGUGGAGGGAUUUUACCACUAAAAUGAUUGGACCUUAAUUGGAGAGCCAUUACCCUGUGAGAUAUCCAAUCUGGUAUGUUUCCUGAUAAGUGGUUAUUGCGAACAUUAAAGACCAGUAGAGAGCGACAAUUUUGCAAUGAGGGAGGAAUCUCUCCAUUUAGCUUAUUCUCAUGCAAAUGGAGUGAGGUGAGGUUAGAUAGAAAGCCCAUUGAUGAGGGUAUCUUACCUGAUAGAUUAUUGCUUCCCAAGUGAAUAGCAACCAAAGAUUUCCAAUUCUUCCAACAAUUCGUAAGCCCUCCAGAUAGAUUAUUCAAUGAUAUGUCCAAGNNNNNNNNNNNNNNNNNNNNNNNNNNNNNNNNNNNNNNNNNNNNNNNNNNNNNNNNNNNNNNNNNNNNNNNNNNNNNNNNNNNNNNNNNNNNNNNNNNNNCCUGAUAAUGAAUUAUUUGAUAAGUUGACAAAGACAACGUUUGGUGAUAAUUGAGGCAAGGAACCUUUCAAACCAUUCGAUGAGAGAUCAAUGAUUGUAGAGUUCAACAACACGUUUGAUAUGUUCCCGUCUAUCAAAUUACCUUGUAAUUGGACUUUAGUCAUCCUUGAUACAAAAUUCCAGAAUUUGUUUGGAGCCUCAAAUGAUGAUUCCCAAAUAGUUAACCUUUCAAUAGAUCGUUGAGUAUAUAACCACGCAGGAAGGUUGGGAUUUGAAAACCCGAAAGCUAAUUCUUCAAGUUGAAAGGGUGGAAUCCAAUGGGAGUCAAAAUCAAAGAUUAACCUGGAAUAUGAGUAUAUAAGCAGUUCCUUUAAUUUUGACAAUUUGGCAAAAUUUCUUUGAGACACAACUCCUGUCAAUGGAUUUGAGGCAAUAGCCAAGGUAAUUAAGGAAGAUAGAUUUCCCAAAUUUGUGGGAAUAGAUCCAGAAAAUUUGUUUACUCCUAGAAUAAGAUAUUUUAAAUGUUCAAAUUCACCUAACCAAUCUGGAAGGGGUCCAUCAAAGUUAUUGUCUUCCAAGUCCAAAAUUUCUAGUUCUCGGAGAUUUAACAAUGCCUUAGGUAGAUGUCCUAUUAAAGAACUUGAGCUAAGGUCUAAAUCAUAGAUAUUGGAACUAAGAUUGAAUAGCCACUUAGGUAACUCUGAGUCAAAUUCAUUCGCAGAAAGAUCAAGAACUUUGAGUGCAGUAAAAUUAGCAUAGUUAAGAGACAAACUCAAGUCUUUAAGUUGACAAGCACGCAUUUUGAGGAAUGAAAGUGAUGGAAGCAUAGUCACUAGUUGAAGCCAAUUAGUUUCUUUGCUAAGAUCAAUAUCACGGAGGUUGAGAUAUUCCAAGGAGGAAAUAUAGGGAAGCCAUUGAAGGUUGCUGAUGGCAAGAUUCCUGUUAAGUGAUAAAUCAAGAUGACCAAGAGUUGAAGAGUUGACACACUGACGAGGAGAAGGAACUAUGGAUAGAUUAUGAGAAUUAUGAUUAUGCACAUAAUCAAAUUGUAAUGCUAAGAAGUCAUUGUUUCUCAAAUCCAAGUAAUCUAGAAAUUGCAACUCCACUAAUAACAAGGAUAGGUGAAUGGAACCUGUAAGGCAAUAUGAUUUAUCUUCUUCGUCCCUGUAAGAUGAAAGAGUUGUAGCACACCGAAUACUGAUUCCAGUGACUCUACUGGUGAUGUUAUUACACAUGACUCCUUUCCAUUGACAGCAAUCUAGUUUAGUGGACCAUGAAGAAAGGACACCUGAUGGAUCUAUGAUUCCUUGUUUGAAGUUUAAGAGAGCAUGCAUGUCCUUUUGGUUGCAGUGAAUACUGAAGCUGCAUAAGCGAGUGUUGAAUAUGAUUCCGCAUAGCAACCACGAAACAAUGAUUGCCUUUUGAGAUGGAAGUGUAGUCAUGAUUGCAAGACAAAUGGAGGGGUAAGCUAGAAUGGAUGAUUUCAAAGUAAAGGAGAGAAACUAUACUUAUAGUGAUUGGAGUCCUAAAAGUUUCAUAUUAUUAAGAGUAUUACGUAUACAUAUUCUUUAAUAAUUCAAGAUACUUUUUAAAAGUAAAACCAUAAUGAUAAUAUUGAAUUUUCAAAUAAAUAAUUGUUAUUUUUAAUUCAAAAUAAUGAUGCUUUUAGUUAAUGUAAAAGAUUAUUUUUUAAAUAAAUAAUGUAAAUUUUGCUUUCGGUUCAUGUAAAAGAUUAUUUUUAUGUGUUAAAUCAAAUAAAUAAAUAAACAAGGAUACGCAUUCAUGUGUUAAAUCGGGUCACAAUAUUUUUCACAACAAAAGAAAAAGAAAAAGUGAGCAAGUGAAGCAGAUAAAUUAUUUACAGUAAUUUAAAAACGAGCUCUUUCAAAUACAAAUAUUUGUGUGUGGAGGUUAAAUAAGGACAUAAUUGGUGUAAAAGGAAAUAUGAAAAAAGAGAGAGAUUCCGAUAACAUUAAAUCAAUGUCACUUAUGUCACUUAUGCUAGUAAGAUGUGGACGUGGAACCUAUCCUAUAAGUGGAUAAGAAUUAAAAUAGCCUCAUUUAAAAUUUCACUGGGUUUUGGUCUAAAAUUAUUGGGUGCAGGAAGCAGUGGCCCUCUUGAAAGUCUAGGCCCAUUUGUCUGGACAAGGGUUUUCACUAUUUGCACUUGCGCCUUUUAUAUCCGCAUCACCAUUUUCUAAAAUGCGUAGGCCUAUUAAGCUGGGCCAGUAUUUCCACUAUUUGCACCAGUCUUUUAUUCAUAACCUGCCAGUUAUUAUUUGUUACUAUUUUUAGAAAAAAGCCUUCGACUAUUUAGCUAGUUCAACAGUUUUACUAUUUGCCACCUAAUUAUUUUACAUACACCAUCAUCAACAGUUUUUUUUUAAAAGAAAGAAAUCAAUACAAAUAAAAAAAUAUAUUAAAAAUAUAAUUUUUUACAUUAUCUUCUACUCAAUAUUUUUUUUUUAAAAAAUUAUGAUUUUCUUAAUAAGAUUCACUCAAAGAGUAAAUAGUAUUAUAUAAUUUACAAUAUUUCUCUACUUACUUUAUGAUUUAUAUAUAAUAUUAAAUAUAAUCGUCAACACUCUCUUAUACUCUAACUUGCGUGAAUCAUAAAAAUCAAUAAAGUCAUGCUUCUUAUCUACUUAAAAAAACAAAUUUAGCAUUGCAAACAUUAGAAUAUUAUAUUAUGUUUAUAGACAUGUUAUGGCAAUGAAAUGAGAAAUAUUUUGUUAUAAUUUAAAACCAGAAAUAUCAUAUCAUAUUUAAAGUCAUGCUUGUGAAGUAGAGAAUAAAUUGUUUUAAUGUUUUGAUAAAAGGUGGAUGAAUUAGUUCAUCUAAAAAUAAGUGUAAAUUCAUUAAAUAAUCUUAGUCAUAGAUGAUUUUUUUUUUAUCAUGAUGGGUAUUACAAUAAAUUAUGAUUUAGGAUAUAUGAGUAUGCAUUAUAGAUUGUCAAAUUUUAAUUAAUGACUAAGGUUUAUUAUUUUAUCUUUUAGUUUUUAAUUCUUAAUUUAAAGUAGAAGAGAUCCUUAAUUUCUUUUUACUAGUCAUUUCAAUUUUAUAAAAACAAUUAAUUAUUAAAUUAUUUUUAGUAUUUAUUGGUUUAUUUUUUAAUUUUUUAUGUAGUUCAAUUAAAAAAAAACUUAACAUUUUGAAGUAAAUAAUAUUUUAUUAUAUAGUACUACAUCAAAAUUAAAAUUGCAAAAGAUAAAUUCAAUGUAACAGUAGUUCAAAUUAAUUAAGAAAUAAAAAUAAAUAAAUUUGAUUAAUAUUAAUUACAUUAACCCAUUUAAAUAAGAUGACUUAUCCAAAUAGAAAAGGCCUAUAAAACUUUAAAAAUAAAUAAAUAGAGGUACUAAAACGUUCAAUAAAAAUAAUUAUUUUAAAAAUUAUGAUUAUAAUUAUAUAUAAAAAUAUAUUUUUGUCAAAAGAAUACAAAUUUCAUUAAUAUAAUAAAACUUAAUUAUAGUUGUGUUAUUUUAUAUAAUUUUACAUGUACCAACUUAAUUAGUUAUUCAUUUACUUUAUCAAAUAACAUUCAAUAAACCAAUUUAUAAGCUUAGAACUUUACUUAACUUAUAAAAUAGAAACUAACUUAUUAACUAAUGUUUCUAAAGAGAAUCUAACCCUAACCAUAAUACUAUCACAUUACUUUCUACGAACAUUUUAAAAAUCACUACUAACUAAUGCUACGAAUAUUUAGUGUAAAGUUAACGUGAAAUGAUCUAGCUAUAUAAAAGAUACAACUUAAAUGCUAUAAAGAUCAACACUCUUUGCAUAAUACAUAAUAAAUGAAAAAGAAAAGUUAAAAUUCAAAAUCAUGACACAACUUAAAAAGAAAAAACAAAAUACACCAAUUAUUACUAAUCAAAUAUUAAGUUCAUCACUGUUGGCAUUGUUUGCAGUUUUAUCAUACGAAUUACACCAUCACGUUCUCUUCUUCUACGUUUGAUUCCCUUUUGAAGAAUGGAAAAUGCCUAAGAUAUAAGAUAACAAAAGUUUUUUUAUUAGAAUAAAUAAAUUAAUGGAAAAUGUUCAUUAUCAUAUAAUUUUGCAACUUAAUAUUUUUAAUACAUCACAAAACAUCAAUUAAUUAUAAAGUAUUUUCACUUUUUUUUUAAUUGCUUCUCAUCAAACUCAUAAAACAUCCUUAUAUUUGAUAUUUUUCACUUUACGAUGUAAGAAUUUGUUGGAUCUACUUAAAAAAAGAAAACAUUGUUAAAAUAUAAAUAUUAUUAAGACAGUCUAAGAUUUGUAGUCAAUCAGUUUGUCCCAAUUUUAAUGUCCAUUUUAUCCAGACUCAAUUUUAAUAAAUAAAAAGUAAAACUAGACGAAUUAAAGCAAAUUGAUGUACUUUGUCACUAUACUUUGAUAAGUUACAAGAAUAAUAAAAUCUAUAUUUAUAUAUGCUUUUAAAAAAGUCACUUAAGUUAAGGCACAAGUAUGACAUAUGUAUAAGUUGAGAAAACUCAUUUAUGUACUACAAUCAAUUUAUUUAUAUUUAUAUAUGUUUUAAAUAAAUGGAAUAUAAAUAUUAGUGUAAUUCAAACCAUACAUAAAGAAUUAAAAGAUAAAAGUUAAAGAAUUAAAGUAUAUUUUUGUAAUUAUGAAAGAAAGAGUAGGGAAAGAUAAACUAAAGUGAUAUUUUAACAAAAGGUUUUCACUUACCAGUAUUUGUAUGCAACUUGUUUGAGCUUAACGGAAGGGAUUCAUGUUGACAACCACCAAGACACGAAGUCGAUCUCUCAAGUCAUUAAGAAACUUGAAGUAAGCAUGUCUUAGUUUUGUGUUGAAGAAAACGGCACAACAAACUCCCAAAAAGCCCGUUACAAAUCCAUAUUCUAUUCCGAUGUAAAACCAUGGCCAAAAUUCAUAUUGAUUUCCAUCUUCCCCAACAAGCUUUGUGUCUUUAUGUUUAUCAUCCUGAAAGCACAUUUUGGUAAGUGGGGGUCCACAAAGAUCACUGUUGCCCAUAUAACUAAAAGCAGUGAAUCCUUGAAGUUGUGUGCCUGAUGGUAUUUUGCCUCUCAAAUUGUUGAAUGAAAUAUUCAAGUAAGCCAAAAAGGACAAACUGGAUAAGCUCUGAGGAAUUUCACCCCCAAGUUGGUUUUUUGAAAAAUCAAGAGACUCUAAGUUUUUCAUAUUUCCUAUCUCAUUUAGUAUUUUUCCUGAUAAAUUAUUGUUGGAUAAGUUCAAGGAAGACAAUCCCAUAAGACUAAACAUUUGUGGAGGUAUUGUUCCAGACAAAUUGUUACUUGACAUAUCAAUUAGGGUCAUAAAGUGUAGGUUUCGGUCAUAUUUUGAUACUCGACCUUUAGUAACCAAUUCAAGAUUGUCACUUUCAUAGAUGUAAGCAUUACGAGAUGUAGGAAAGGAAAAAGAAAGUUUGUUUUUAGAAACAUUGUUGAAAAGUAGGGUUUUGAUAUUAGGAAGACAAUUGGGUAUAUGACCAGAGAUUGUGUUAUGUGCAAUAUCCAAUAUAAUGAGGGAAGACAUUUGGCAUAUUUGUGGAGGGAUUUUACCACUAAAAUGAUUGGACCUUAAUUGGAGAGCCAUUACCCUGUGAGAUAUCCAAUCUGGUAUGUUUCCUGAUAAGUGGUUAUUGCGAACAUUAAAGACCAGUAGAGAGCGACAAUUUUGCAAUGAGGGAGGAAUCUCUCCAUUUAGCUUAUUCUCAUGCAAAUGGAGUGAG